GGGGUACUGUACGUGGUAGAGUAGCCUUGUUGCUACGAUCCACUGAGGUUAAGCCCUUGUUCUAAAGAUUUGUUCAACUG
rnacentral:rRNA from 1 species